UUAACAUUUCUUUUGCCAAUAUGUAUAUCCUGGGGAUUGGCCCAGAGUCUCUACCAACUACCGCAAAGAGUUGGCUACAUAUCUUAAUGUAGCCAGC
rfam:Lachnoclostridium sp. YL32, complete genome.